rnacentral:rRNA from 1 species
ACGAACCGAGCGAACGUUGUUCGGAAUCACUGGGCUUAAAGGGUGCGUAGGCGGGCUGCCGCGUCCGGGGUGAAAUCCUCCGGCUCAACCGGGGAACGGCCUCGGAUACGGGCGGCCUCGAGGGGGGUAGGGGCAUGCGGAACUGUGGGUGGAGCGGUGAAAUGCGUUGAUAUCCACAGGAACUCCGGUGGCGAAGGCGGCGUGCUGGACCCCAUCUGACGCUGAGGCGCGAAAGCCAGGGGAGCAAACGGGA